AUGGCCGACCGUCGUGGUGCCAACCCUUCUGGUGUUGCUGGUCCAGCCAAGGGGGCGGUGCAGAAACCCGCCCUGGGUGCUGGUGUAUCAAAGCAGACGAAUACUACUGGUAAAGAUCCUGUCCCUCCUCAAAGACCAACUAGAUCUACUGGAUCCACCGCCACCUCCUCUCAGGUUCAAUCGUCUCAAGUUAAUGAUGUGGAAAAAGAGCAGCCUCUAGACCCCAGGUACAAGGACAUGAUAUGUUUUAACUGUGGUGGCCCUGGACACUAUGUGGGUAAUUGUGUUAGAUCUCAAGCUUGUUUUAUCUGCCAACAAUCCCACAACGUGAACAACUGCUCGGCUUGGACUAGGGUUCAGCCCACUGCAGCGUUAUUUGGGAGUGGUGCUAGUGGCCUGGGCUUCUAUCAUGUUGAGGUCCCUAUGGCAAAUGAAGCCAAAUGGAUCAAUUUCCAGAAUUGUGGUGUGGUUAAUAUUACCAAGGGUGAAGUGGACAAAGAUAAAUUGGUGAGUCUUCUGACUGCUACUUUUUGCAAGACCAGAGCCUGGCCUUGGCAGAUUAGGGAGUUGUCCAGUAAAGAGUUUCUGGUCAGGUUCCCUCCAUGGAAGAAAGUAGAGGAUUUAAUUGAACUUCAUGGUUUCAGCUUACCCCAAGAUGUAUCUGUCAAAAUGACUGAGUGGACUGGGUCUUGUGACCCGUUUGGUGAACUUAUUGAGGCAUGGGUGCUGAUUGAGGGGAUUCCUCCUAAGUGGUGCUCCUGGAAAGUGUUUGCACAAAUUGCAUCCAUGUUUGGGUUGCUCACUGAUGUUUAUUGGAAUGGUAUGUUUAGAACUUUUUAUGAAAAUGUGAGGAUUAAGAUUGCUUGCAGAGAUCCUUGGAAAAUUCCUUUUGAGAGGUUGAUUGAGAUGAAGAAGAAGCUAUUCUUGCUUGGUUUCACUAUGGAGGGUUUUGAGCAGAUGGGAGGCAGAGGUUCUGUGGUAGAAAUUGAAGAUGAGAAUGAGGAUGACAACUUUGAGGAAGACAAUGGUAAUCAAGAACCACAUGAUCUAACCAAGAACAAUGAUGAUGAUGAAUUCAUUGAUUAUGACACUGCCAUUGAUGAUCUUGAUAAGGCAAAUUUUACAUCCAAGGGGGGGACAUGUUCUUCUGUUGGGAAAAAAGCAUGCAACACGAUGUCUGACUGUCAGGGGGAUGAUCAGGGGACCUUCAUCCUGGAAUGCCUCUCAAACAAAAGGAAGUUUGGUGAAAAUGGUGUGAAUGGGGAGGAGUGUUCCAUGAUUAAGGGUACCCUGAUUGACAAAAAAGAUGGGGUUUGUACCCCUGAAAAGACUUGGUUAAAGAGAGAUGAUGAUGGUAACCAAAGUGAGAGUAUGAGCUACUGUUUGAACCUUCUGAAAUCAGUGGACAUGUCUAUGUCUGAUGAAGAUGAAAAUGCUGAAGAGGAGGAGGUGGGAGUUCUCUCCCCUGGUACAGUUCAGAAAAUGCAAGAGUCUAGUAUAAAACGUUCAUUGUUGGAGGUUCCGGACCAAGCAAGAUCUGGUGGAAACAAGGAAGACAAGAACAUAAAGUGGGGGCCUGUUAAAGCUCAGAAAUAUGAUACUAGGCUGCAUGGGAAUGUAGACAUAAUUAAGAAAGAUGCCCAGUAUAAGAUGAAGAAGAACUUGGAGAUUCCUCCAACCUUCAAAGGUAAAUCUUUCCCUACCAAUGAUUCUACUCUCCUGGCUAGUCAAGCUGUUCAAGUUGGUAUUGUCAUUGGUAGAAGUAAUGAUAACAUGUUUGACAUUAUAGAAGAGCUUAAAGUUAAAGAACAAAAGAAUUGCAUUGCCUUUGCUAAUGAUGAACCUGAAAUAACUUUGCCUGUUAAUAUUGAUCUAACUCAAGAAGAUUUAGUUGGGACUCCUGCUAGAGAUUUCUCGGUGGCAUCAGUUGGCACUGCUGAUAAUACAGACCAAUCCCCUGCUGUCCUCACUAAGGUUAAGCCUUGUGGCUUGUCCCACCCAUUUAGAAUACCCUGA
rnacentral:rRNA from 1 species